rnacentral:misc_RNA from 1 species
CCCUUCAACAGGUUUCUUUCUUUCUCUCUUUUAUCGGUGAAUUGAUAUGAAAAAUUGAAAAUUUGGCUGCAACUUCAAUUAGCAAAACCCUCAUUCACGAAAUAACAAUGGAUUAACACCUCUUUAAAACCCCUCCAAAAAUUCCCUUAUAAUGGCUGAAACUGCAGCUUCUUCGCCUAAACCUAUCCCGUCUCCAAAUCCGAUGGACCCAUCACCACCACCUCCUCAACCGCAACCACAA